UCCCCGGGCCGCGGGCGAGCUGGGAGGGGGAGGCGCGCCCUCCUUGUAUAAUCUCCAGGCGUCGCACUUAUCUCUCCGUGCACCCGGGGACUUAUCUCACCAGAAGUCGGGGGUGAAUUUGUAGAACAAACCGUGAUACGCCCCCACCCCAGAGGCGAGGUGACUGUUCCAGUUCAGUCCAGCAGAAAUGAAUUCAUGAGGAAGAGGCCGGAGAAUUUUUCCUCCCGUCUUAUCUGACCCAGAAUCAGCAAGACGCAGGCCAGAGCUGGCUUGGCCCUCAGGCACUUUGACCACCCAACACCUUUGUUUAUUCAACAUCCUCUUUCCAGAUUUUCAGUCCAGACAGUAUAGCACAGAACAACAACAACAACAAAAUGAAACAAUGAUCAAAUAAAGGGGAGUAAGUCCUAGAGUUCGUUUGGUUGAUCGAUGAAGGAGACAAGUUGACCCACCGUGAGCUCUGUCUCUGCUUUCGUCUCUCACUCCCUCAAUUGCACAUGGAAUCCGGACUCUGAAGUGGAGCUCAGAACGUCCAUCUGACGCCUCCCGCCAGGAUCCGAGCCACGGAAGCAAACCGGAGUCGAUCCGUGCCCUCCCUGCCGUGCCCACCGCCCAGCCCCUUCCCAAGCCGCCUCCAGAAGGUCCUAGACUCUCGCGGAUGAUUUCGGUGAACGUAUGCGUUCCCAACGGCAGCCCGGACCCGCACUUUUCCUUCCAUCUUUUGCUGACUUGGCCGACUUUGGCUUCACUCGCGGCCCAGAGGUGCCUGCGCCGUGCUUGGCUCGGCUCCCGUCUCUCGGAGGAGGCCCGGGACUGUGGUUUCCGCUCGCCACAUCCCUGCCUGGCGCGCACGCAGCAGCUUGGCGAGCUUCCCGCUCGCGCUCUGCGCCAACCGCUUUGGGCCUCAGUUUCCCCGCUGCUUUGCGGUUGGCGAAGUGCCGGCCACACGGUUGGAGGAGGAGGAAUGGAGAAUGGAUUGGUUGGUGGUGGGAGCGCAGUUGCAGCGUGUGAAGGGGCGGGGGUUCCGGACGAACCCUGCUUCCUUUCCCGCUCCCCUUCACCGUGGACUUCUACCCACCUCCACGCACAGAAGAGGAGACGAAAAGCUGGUGCUGUCUCGCUUGCCACCCUAGGAAUGGAGCCCACCAACGCCAGGACCCCAGUCUUCUCUAAGGGCCACCCACAGGCUGCCUGAGCUCAGUCGGCAGUGUGGGUGUGCCGGGCUGUAGUCAGGACAAGCUUGGUCCUAGCCAGCAGGUGCACGCUUGGGGGUGCGGGGAGCAGGUUCCCGUGUGGCUGCCGGCUCCGCUGGGAUGGGACUGCUGCUGCUGGCCUUGGGACAUCUGCAGACCCAGCUGUGGUUCACCACGCCUCCUGCUGAGCUUUGAGAGGUGGCCUAUCAGAGCCUUAGAACUUCCUAUGAGUCCAUUAGCCCUUCUAAGCCUCAGUUACCUCCUCUGUAAACCAGGAUAACAGGUCCUGCCACACAGCACGUGGCAGGGGUAAAUGACAUUGGGUGCGUACAUUGCUCAGCCACACCUUGGCACAUAAUAAGUGCUCAUUAAAUAUUAGCUGUUUG